AGAGUUUGAUCCUGGCUCAGGACGAACGCUGGCGGCGUGCUUAACACAUGCAAGUCGAACGAGAAUCUACUGAAAGAGUUUUCGGACAAUGGAUGUAGAGGAAAGUGGCGGACGGGUGAGUAACGCGUGAGGAACCUGCCUUGAAGAGGGGGACAACAGUUGGAAACGACUGCUAAUACCGCAUGAUGCAUAGAGGUCGCAUGAUCUUUAUGCCAAAGAUUUAUCGCUUCAAGAUGGCCUCGCGUCUGAUUAGCUGGUUGGCGGGGUAACGGCCCACCAAGGCGACGAUCAGUAGCCGGACUGAGAGGUUGAACGGCCACAUUGGGACUGAGAUACGGCCCAGACUCCUACGGGAGGCAGCAGUGGGGAAUAUUGGGCAAUGGGCGCAAGCCUGACCCAGCAACGCCGCGUGAAGGAAGAAGGCUUUCGGGUUGUAAACUUCUUUUAAGAGGGAAGAGCAGAAGACGGUACCUCUAGAAUAAGCCACGGCUAACUACGUGCCAGCAGCCGCGGU
rnacentral:rRNA from 1 species